CGAUGCCAGAGCUAACUGAUGGGUGCACAUGGUUCCUUCGUAUGUUCUUCCUUUGAAAAAAUAAACGUGUUUCGAUGCCAGAGCUAACUGAUGGGUGCACAUAGUUCCUUCGUAUGUUCUUCCUUUGAAGAAAUAAACGUGUUUCGAUGCCAGAGCUAACUGAUGGGUGCACAUGGUUCCUUCGUAUGUUCUUCAUUUGAAAAAAUAAACGGUGAGCAUAACUGCAUGUCAAUUGCUCUGCUCCCUGUAGCAGUUUCCUUUCUCUUUGCAGUGUUUCGAUGCCAGAGCUAACUGAUGGGUGCACAUGGUUCCUUCGUAUGUUCUUCCUUUGAAGAAA